rnacentral:misc_RNA from 1 species
GAAAUGCGAUAAGUAAUGUGAAUUGCAGAAUUCAGUGAAUCAUCGAAUCUUUGAACGCACAUUGCGCCCGCCAGUAUUCUGGCGGGCAUGCCUGUUCGAGCGUCAUUACAACCCUCAGGCCCCCGGGCCUGGCGUUGGGGAUCGGCGGAAGCCCCCUGCGGGCACAACGCCGUCCCCCAAAUACAGUGGCGGUCCAGCCGCAGCUUCCAUUGCGUAGUAGCUAACACCUCGCAACUGGAGAGCGGCGCGGCCACGCCGUAAAACACCCAACUUCUGAAUGUUGACCUCGAAUCAGGUAGGAAUACCCGCUGAACUUAAGC